GCGGUCUCAUCGGAUACACAGCACAGGGCCCCAAAUUUUGGGGGCCCAAAAACAAUUACACACUGUUGGGUAAAAAAAAAAAAAAAAAAACUUCCCUUUCCCGCAGCUUCUUGAAUAAAUCAAACAUGGAAACCCAAAAAUACCUCUUCAAAUUCUCUUCCAAUGGUCAUUUCCAAAAAUUAGUGAAUUACAACCUUCAUCAACUACUCCACGCUUGAAUCUUCGACCACCAUGGCACCAUUCCUCUUCUCCCUCCUUCGAUUCUCACUUUCUCUCUCUUCCUUUCAAGCCUCCAGGGUUUUGAAAUCCAGUAAUUCAUCUGAGAAAUUUCGUCGAAGUUCGAUGGUGAAGGCGGUGAAUUUGGACGGAUUUGGAACUCCGAGUAGAAAUGAACGCCGGUGGAAUUUGGUCAAUUAGGUAGGGUUUAUUGAAGAUUUUGGGUUUGAUUUUUUCGAUUUGAUUGUUAUUGUUAUUGCUGUUGUAGAAUUUGUUUAAUUUAAUUGCAAAAUGGCGUGUAGUAUAUUAGUAUGUGAAUUUUGAAUUAGUAUUGUUCA